rnacentral:rRNA from 1 species
AUUGAACGCUGGCGGCAGGCCUAACACAUGCAAGUCGAGCGGAUGAAGGGAGCUUGCUCCUGGAUUCAGCGGCGGACGGGUGAGUAAUGCCUAGGAAUCUGCCUGGUAGUGGGGGAUAACGUCCGGAAACGGGCGCUAAUACCGCAUACGUCCUGAGGGAGAAAGUGGGGGAUCUUCGGACCUCACGCUAUCAGAUGAGCCUAGAUCGGAUUAGCUAGUUGGUGGGGUAAAGGCCUACCAAGGCGACGAUCCGUAACUGGUCUGAGAGGAUGAUCAGUCACACUGGAGCUGAGACACGGUCCAGACUCCUACGGGAGGCAGCAGUGGGGAAUAUUGGACAAUGGGCGAAAGCCUGAUCCAGCCAUGCCGCGUGUGUGAAGAAGGUCUUCGGAUUGUAAAGCACUUUAAGUUGGGAGGAAGGGCAGUAAGUUAAUACCUUGCUGUUUUGACGUUACCAACAGAAUAAGCACCGGCUAACUUCGUG